GUUCUGGCUCAGUGGAAGAGCAUCUGUUUUACAUGCAGAAGGUGCCAUGUUUAAUCCUGGAAAAAGCUCCUGGUUCAAAACCUUGGAGAGCCA